rnacentral:rRNA from 1 species
CCGCCCGUCACACCAUGGGAGUUGAUUGCACCAGAAGCAGGUAGCCUGACCGCAGGGAGGGCGCCUACCACGGUGUGGUCAAUGACUGGGGUG